rnacentral:rRNA from 1 species
ACGAACGCUGGCGGCAGGCUUAACACAUGCAAGUCGCAGGAGAAGGAGGCUUCGGCUUCCGGACACUGGCGGACGGGUGAGUAACGCGUGGGGACCUACCCUGGGGUGGGGGACAACCGCUGGAAACGGCGGCUAAUACCGCAUACGCCCUUUGUUUAGGCAUUGGGGAAAACUCCGGUGCCCUGGGAUGGCCCCGCGUCGGAUUAGCUAGUUGGUGGGGUAACGGCUCACCAAGGCGACGAUCCGUAGCUGGUCUGAGAGGAUGACCAGCCACACUGGAACUGAGACACGGUCCAGACUCCUACGGGAGGCAGCAGUGGGGAAUAUUGGACAAUGGGGGCAACCCUGAUCCAGCCAUGCCGCGUGUGUGAAGAAGGCCUUAGGGUUGUAAAACACUUUCAGCGGGGAAGAUGAUGACGGUACCCGCAGAAGAAGCCCCGGCUAACUCCGU